AAGCUUCUUCCUCCCUGUUUUGUCAAUGAAGUAAAUGCUCACUAUCGAGCCCAUGGCAUUGAGGCCGGAUGUGACCAGUGAAAGGGCGAGCGCAGUCUGGUUUGAUGCAAAUCCGGCUAAUUGUACUAUUGUUGGGCUGUAGUACAUGACCGUGUUUAUCCCCACAAAUUGCUGAAAGAUCUGAAGCCCAACUCCUGCAAUGAGGCCUCUUCUGACACUCUUUG
rnacentral:misc_RNA from 1 species